AGAGUUUGAUCCUGGCUCAGGAUGAACGCUGGCGGCGUGCCUAAUACAUGCAAGUCGAGCGAACCACUUCGGUGGUGAGCGGCGAACGGGUGAGUAACACGUAGGUGAUCUGCCCAUCAGACGGGGACAACGAUUGGAAACGAUCGCUAAUACCGGAUAGGACGAAAGUUUAAAGGUGCUUCUGGCACCGCUGAUGGAUGAGCCUGCGGCGCAUUAGCUAGUUGGUAGGGUAAAGGCCUACCAAGGCGACGAUGCGUAGCCGACCUGAGAGGGUGAACGGCCACACUGGGACUGAGACACGGCCCAGACUCCUACGGGAGGCAGCAGUAGGGAAUCUUCGGGCAAUGGGCGAAAGCCUGACCGAGCAACGCCGCGUGAAUGAUGAAGGCCUUCGGGUUGUAAAAUUCUGUUAUAAGGGAAGAACGACUUUAGUAGGAAAUGGCUAGAGUGUGACGGUACCUUAUGAGAAAGCCACGGCUAACUACGUG
rnacentral:rRNA from 1 species